rnacentral:rRNA from 1 species
UACAGAUGCUGGCGACCGGCAAACGGGUGCGGAACACGUACAGAACCUUCCUUCGAGCGGGGAAUAGCCCAGAGAAAUUUGGAUUAAUACCCCAUAGUAUAUUGAAUAGGCAUCUAUUUAAUAUUAAAGAUUUAUCACUUGAAGAUGGCUGUGCGGCUGAUUAGGUAGUUGGCGGGGUAACGGCCCACCAAGCCUGCGAUCAGUAACUGGUGUGAGAGCACGACCAGUCACACGGGCACUGAGACACGGGCCCGACUCCUACGGGAGGCAGCAGUAAGGAAUAUUGGUCAAUGGACGAAAGUCUGAACCAGCCAUGCCGCGUGGAGGAUGAAGGUCCUCUGGAUUGUAAA